UUUACCCUCCAGUCUCCAGAACUACAGGAUUUAUCUUAUAACUUUGUUCCUGAAAUAAAUGUACUGAGGAUUUUUAGAAGGAAAGAUCCUAACUGCCCUGGAGGCUUGUGCCAGUCAUCUGCAUAUAAAGUGCUUCACAACAGCAGAAGGAAUGUUAAUUAGGUUUCUUGAUUGAGAAAAAGAAGUCUGACGGAGAUGCAGAUCACCAAUGGAGGGUGGCAGGAAUAAAGGCUCUCGAACUGAGCUCUUGUUCAUUUGCCGUUACAGUUAAGGCAAGUGUUGACUGCAUAAUGAAAAUAAGGAAGA